rnacentral:rRNA from 1 species
UACGAAGGGGGCUAGCGUUGCUCGGAAUCACUGGGCGUAAAGGGUGCGUAGGCGGGUCUUUAAGUCAGGGGUGAAAUCCUGGAGCUCAACUCCAGAACUGCCUUUGAUACUGAAGAUCUUGAGUUCGGGAGAGGUGAGUGGAACUGCGAGUGUAGAGGUGAAAUUCGUAGAUAUUCGCAAGAACACCGGUGGCGAAGGCGGCCAACUGGACCAUUACUGACGCUGAGGCGCGAAAGCGUGGGGAGCAAACAGG